rnacentral:rRNA from 1 species
GAUUACAUAUAAGAGGUCCAGCCUGCCCAGUGAAUUUGUUCAACGGCCGCGGUAUCCUAACCGUGCGAAGGUAGCGUAAUCACUUGUUCUUUAAAUGAGGACUGGUAUGAAUGGCAUCACGAAGGUUAUACUGUCUCCUUUUUCUAAUCAGUGAAACUAAUCUUCCCGUGAAGAAGCGGGAAUAAACAUAUAAGACGAGAAGACCCUAUGGAGCUUUAAACAAGUAUACAAUUGCCUCAUUUUCAAAAAUUUCAGAAAACAAAUCCUUAUUUAGGCAUUUUGAUAUAAAGUUUUAGGUUGGGGUGACCACGGAGAAAAAAACAACCUCCGCAAUGAAUGGGGCUUCCCCCUAAACUAAGAGCUACAACCCUAAGAAUCAACAAAUUGACAUCCACUGACCCAAUAUAUUUGAUCAAUGAACCAAGUUACCCUAGGGAUAACAGCGCAAUCCACUUCAAGAGCCCCUAUCGACAAGUGGGUUUACGACCUCGAUGUUGGAUCAGGGUAUCCCAGUGGUGCAGCCGCUACUAACGGUUCGUUUGUUCAACGAUUAAAACCCUACGUGAUCUGAGUUCAG